GAUGAAGAACGUAGCGAAAUGCGAUAAGUAAUGUGAAUUGCAGAAUUCAGUGAAUCAUCGAAUCUUUAAACGCACCUUGCGCCCUUUGGACAUUCCGAAGGGCAUGCCUGUUUGAGUAUCAUGAACACCUCAACUCUCACGGCUUGUCCGUGAUGAGCUUGGACUUUGGGGGUCUUGCCGGCCUGUGGUCGGCUCCUCUCAAAUGGAUCAGCUUGCCAGUGUUUGGUGGCAUCACAGGUGUGAUAACUAUCUGCGCUUGUGGUUUUCCAUCAGAUAACCUUCAGUGAUAUGGAGGUUCGCUGGAGCUCACAAAUGUCUCUCCUUAGUGAGGACAGCUCUUUGAACGUUUGAUGUCAAAUCAGGUAGGACUACCCGCUGAACUUAAGCAUAUCAAUAAGCGGAGGA
rnacentral:misc_RNA from 1 species